UACGUAGGGGGCAAGCGUUGUCCGGAUUUAUUGGGCGUAAAGCGCGUGUAGGCGGCUUGGUAGGUCAGCUGUGAAAACUCGAGGCUCAACCUCGAGCUGUCGGUUGAAACCACCUUGCUAGAGUCCGGAAGAGGAGAGUGGAAUUCCUGGUGUAGCGGUGAAAUGCGCAGAUAUCAGGAAGAACACCAAUGGCGAAGGCGGCUCUCUGGGGACGGUACUGACGCUGAGACGCGAAAAGCGUGGGGAGCGAACAGG
rnacentral:rRNA from 1 species